rnacentral:tRNA from 1 species
UCCCGGGUCGUCUAGCGGCAGGACCGCAACCUUUGGAGUUGCAGACGGAGGUUCGACCCCUCCCCCGGGAG